rnacentral:rRNA from 1 species
GAUGAACGCUAGCGGCAGGCCUAAUACAUGCAAGUCGAACGAGAUUAAGAGGCUUGCUUCUUAUGAAAGUGGCGCACGGGUGCGUAACGCGUAUGCAACCUACCUUAAUCAGGGGGAUAGCCCGAAGAAAUUCGGAUUAAGACCGCAUAAAAACACAGGAUAGCAUUAUCCAAUGUUCAAAUAUUUAUAGGAUUAAGAUGGGCAUGCGUGUCAUUAGCUAGUUGGCGGGGUAACGGCCCACCAAGGCGACGAUGACUAGGGGAUCUGAGAGGAUGACCCCCCACACUGGUACUGAGACACGGACCAGACUCCUACGGGAGGCAGCAGUAAGGAAUAUUGGUCAAUGGAGGGAACUCUGAACCAGCCAUGCCGCGUGCAGGAAGUCAGCCCUCUGGGUCGUAAACUGCUUUUAUUCGGGAAUAAACCUUUCUACGUGUAGGAAGCUGAAUGUACCGAAGGAAUAAGGAUCGGCUAACUCCGUG